UUAUGCAAGCAGACUGUGACUUGGUUAUGUAAGAAAUUAAUAUGGAACCAUUACCUUUUCUGGCAGAACAUGUCAGCCGCACAUCACAUGUAAACAAUAUGCGUGCUGCAACGGCGGCAAUUCAUUUCAUCACUGGUAUCAAUUUUUAUUUAAAAAAUUGUUUCUGGGGUGCCCAGAUGUGACAGAAACAGCUGCUUCACUGGUUCUUAGUUUGCACUUAACUAAGUUUCUGCUUUCUAUUUCAGGACCAGGGCUGGAGAGCCUCCUGUCUUAACUGCUGAAGAACUAAGCUGGAGGAAGUGGCUUUUGAGACCUGCUUAAAAGUCCUGUUUGGCCCAGAGUCAGGUGGGACGGGCACCCCGACCGAUCUGAGACGCCAGCCCGCACUGAGCGCGCUCAGUCCAGGCCCUUUAACACAGGGAGGAUUCCGCCAGCACGGCGCCAGCCAUAAACAAGCAUAAGACCUGUUUUGUCACCACCGAUGACAUCAGUGACACACAAAGUAUCAGAAGAGAGAAGUACUCACUGCACUUCAGCCACCACCUCCUCCACGACUUCCUCUGAGUCAGCCAUGUCUGCAAGCAAACUGAGCACUGCGGAGAAUUACAGCAGUCUUGUCUGCAGCCCAACGAGCUGAUCAGGGUAGCACUGUGGCUGUCUAACAGAUGGGCUGACCAUGCAGGAAGUCCCCAGAUGGAGGCACUGUUGACAUGAAGACAGUCAGACCUCAGAAGUAGAAACUGAAGGGACGAACCGGGAUUCGAACCCUCAAGCUCAGCGUGCCAAGCAUUGGACAAUACCUUUAUGCCACCAUCGUGUUAGCGGUUGCGCGGCUGCAGCAGUGGCCUGAUGAUGAGACAACCCAAGUAUAAGCGAAACAAAGACAAAGGGGGGCUCGAACCCCCAACCUCUGCGUCCGUAGGCAAAGACAAUACCGUUGCGCCACCUUCUCUUCCGUGAAUCGGCUGGCUCUUCUGUGGGUAGAAGAAGAUGACACAACAGAAAUAUUUCCCAAAAAAAAAAAAAAAAGCUGGAACCCCCCCAGCCGUGGCUGGCUCAAAUCUGCUGGGUGUGAUGCAGUGACCGGAAGCUGAUGAGAAACGCUACCGUUAAUAAAAUUAUGCGGGACUUGAACCCUCAAGCUUCUGGUCCAGAGACCAAGUCACUAACCACUACACCACAGUGGUUUUGUUGUGUUGAAGGCUGAUUCAGUAGAUAUAAGACUUUGAUAUCACAGAAACUUUGCCUUCAUCUACUAACUGACCUGAAGGUGAUGAACCUUUUUAUCUAUGUCUUACAGCUGGUUCUUAGAGCCACAGCAGAGAGGUGAGAUAGGGGAAGAGCCAGACAGACAGAGCAGAGGGGGCAUUGAACUUGCUACCUUGGGCUUCGUGGAACAGGGUACUCUGUCUUGUGCCACAAAACCCUUCAAGAGUUCCUAGGUGCUCAUUAGUGAACUUAGUCUCAGACCCAUCAGAAAUAAACAGGAAGAGCUCAGCUUUGAAUCACACAGAUCCAAUUAGGUGCUCUCCUAAAAUGAACUCUAAGAAACUGUGGCAAAAUAUAAACUGACACCCUAACACAUUUUGGCUUCUUUAAAUAAAGCUUUUGAUUCAUUGAAGGAAUUCUGAUUCUGAUCUUAUAGGUGUGCAUGAAAGUGAUUAGUUGGUUAUAUUUUUUAUGCCUUUGAAUGUUUUCUUUCACAAGGAUGAAAAAUGAGAUUUAAUCUAGCCAGUAAUGUACUAUGGAGAACACUCAUAUUCUGUUUUUAUAAACUGCAGUGGAUAUGUAUUGGGGACAGGGCUUGUAAAUGCAUUUUAUGUUCUUUUAAAUAAUGAAAUGAAUUGUGUUUUGGAAUUUUAUUCUGCAAUUCCAUUUCAGUCUUGAAAGUUGUGCUGCCAUUGCUGAAUAAAAAUAAUGCACAAUAAGAACAGUGA